ensembl:lncRNA
UCGUUGGAUAAAAGCGUCUGCUCAGUAACUAAAUGUAAAUGUUAUGUAAUAUAAAUAUAAUAAUGCAAUGCCAUAUAAUACAAAUAUUUGUUAUUUUGUUACCUACUCUUAAUCUCGGUGAUGUAAUGGGCGUACGGUUUUCACCUCGUUCCGAUCGCGGUGACGUCAUCGACGCUGGUAAAACUGACGGGCCACCUGUCGGUGGAAUGGACCUCGCCUUUAAGAAGCUCCUGCAGGAUGAAAACCGGAGCUGUUCACAACACAUGGUGCUGAACGACGCCGAGACAUCAGGGAGAGCGAAGACAACGCCGCAGAAGCACUGUUUAUGCCGGAGAACAUCUGAACAGUUUGACGAGCCAGUGCUGGGAAGCGGAAUCGAUGGAGCAAGACAUCGUUCUCACAGAGAAACAAUGUGGAAUAUUUUACGGCAGGAGCGGACUAAAUCGAGAGCUACAGCUCAGUCUUAUUUCUUCCGCUUGUUCUUUAAUUUCCUCUUUCAUUUCAGGAAGUUUUCAACGUAACAAUUUGAGACCUGUUGUCUGCAAAUAAGUGUUUAAUAUUUCAAUGUUUAUCAUCCUGCUUGACUCGACGCUUGUCACUCCCAAUGCACAGAUUGAGUGAUACUGUCCUUGUGUAUUCAAAUAGCUACUGCUUGUUGUUUCUCGUGGUUUGAAUUUCGAAAUACUUUAUUAUUAUUAUUAUGCUUUGCUUGUGCUGGUGUUUUUAUUUUGGUAAUUUGCAAUCAUUUGCAUAAUAUUCUUCUUUUUUUAAGUGUUUGUACACUUUUUGCAUUGUGUGAGGUAGUUUUGGCAUACAAAUUUUGUGCAUGAACACCAUAAUUGUUAGCAUACUUUUGCUUUAUUUAUAAGGUCUUUGUUAAAGUGCCAGUUUGGCUUGUGGAGGCCCACAGUGAUUUUUAAUUUCUAGGAUAUUUAUGUUCAAGUGUGCUCCAUAAGUGGCCUCGUGUUCGUAGUACAAUAAUAAAUCAAACCAAUACCAAUGUAUAAGUAAUAUG